UACGUAGGGUGCAAGCGUUAUCCGGAAUUAUUGGGCGUAAAGAGCUCGUAGGCGGUUUGUCGCGUCUGCUGUGAAAACUGGAGGCUCAACCUCCAGCCUGCAGUGGGUACGGGCAGACUAGAGUGCGGUAGGGGAGAUUGGAAUUCCUGGUGUAGCGGUGGAAUGCGCAGAUAUCAGGAGGAACACCGGUGGCGAAGGCGGGUCUCUGGGCCGAUGUCGACGCUGAGGAGCGAAAGCGUAGGGGAGCGAACAGG
rnacentral:rRNA from 1 species